rnacentral:rRNA from 1 species
GCACGGGUACUUGUACCUGGUGGCGAGCGGCGGACGGGUGAGUAAUGCCUAGGAAUCUGCCUGGUAGUGGGGGAUAACGCUCGGAAACGGACGCUAAUACCGCAUACGUCCUACGGGAGAAAGCAGGGGACCUUCGGGCCUUGCGCUAUCAGAUGAGCCUAGGUCGGAUUAGCUAGUUGGUGAGGUAAUGGCUCACCAAGGCGACGAUCCGUAACUGGUCUGAGAGGAUGAUCAGUCACACUGGAACUGAGACACGGUCCAGACUCCUACGGGAGGCAGCAGUGGGGAAUAUUGGACAAUGGGCGAAAGCCUGAUCCAGCCAUGCCGCGUGUGUGAAGAAGGUCUUCGGAUUGUAAAGCACUUUAAGUUGGGAGGAAGGGCAGUUACCUAAUACGUAUCUGUUUUGACGUUACCGACAGAAUAAGCACCGGCUAACUCUGUGCCAGCAGCCGCGGUAAUACAGAGGGUGCAAGCGUUAAUCGGAAUUACUGGGCGUAAAGCGCGCGUAGGUGG